UGUCGUCGUCGGCGGCUUUGACGACCGUUGUGAAUUUUCACCAAUGGCGCAUGCACGGCUCAGCUGUCCGCGUUUGGGAUUAAUCCGCGCUGAAAGAUAAUGCUUUUUAUAGUAUUUUUAUUCGAUUAGAGUUUAAGUGGUGGGACGUAGGUACUGUGUGGUAUAAUUGUGUGACGCUUUAAGUUAACGUGGAUUUACCUUUAUUUUCCAUUCGUCCUCCUCCUCCUCCUCCUGCUCCUCCUCCUCGUCCUCGUCUUCGUCUUCGUUGUCGUAUCUACGAUAUCGAGCAUUGAAAAUGUAGGAAAAGAAGAGAGAUAAAAUUCUAUUGUGAUCUACUACGAACGAGCACUUGCUGUAUUAUAAUAUACUUAUAAAUGAUUAUAGUGUUCGAUGUCAUACGAUUUUCAUGUUGAUUUCUCGAUCGUGGAAUAUCUUAGUCAUUUUCGUUUAACUAUGUCUAUUACGACACACGUUUCGAAUUUUUUCUUUCGUCAGAAGGUCUACAAGUAAUACUUUGAGAUCCUUGGUCAAGAAACAUCUCUAACAAAAGAUUCCUUAUAUCAAUUGUAUUGUCUAUUGUAUAUGUUCAAUUCUAUCUGUAAUAACACUCUUAAGUAAGGAUCCUUUUUCUUCAUAUUUUUUUUUUUUACAAGAAAAACACUCCAUUUCGAGUAAUCAACAUUUUUCAUAACACGUACAAGCAAUGCUUUUCUCGAUUCGAACGUACCGUUUGCCUUUCAUCAAUCAAACGUGUCGUUACGAUAUCGGGUGUGCCAACAAGUCGUUGCGCAUUGACUGGAUACAUGUGUUUUUCAAAAAUUUACCUCUUCUACUUCAUCGUUCUGACAUCAUAUCUAAUUAAGUAAUGUAAUGGUGCUGCAUUACUUCUACUACGCAUCAAAUGGAAAAUGGACUAAUGCACCAAGAAAAGAGUAUAUUGUUGCGGCAUUGUAGCCUUAACUCCUAACAGGAGAAAUGGAAAUAAUAAGAGAUGAGGAUAGGCGCAGGCGCCUGAGAUUGUUGGAGGAACGUAUUAAGGACCCUAGAAGUGUGACUAAUAUCGACAGUUUAUUAGAUACGGUCCAAGCGCUUGUUGCAGACUGUGAUCAUCCUGGUGUUAAGCGUAUGAAGAAUAUAGAAGCCUAUAUGAAUAGAUAUGAUUCCGUUGCCCAAGAUAUUUGUAAAAUGCGAAUGCGUACCGAUGACUUUACUUUGAUUAAAGUCAUAGGACGUGGUGCAUUUGGUGAAGUUCAAUUAGUUAGACACAAAUCUACUCAAAAAGUCUAUGCUAUGAAAUUACUCAGCAAAUUUGAAAUGAUUAAGCGUUCGGAUUCAGCCUUUUUUUGGGAAGAACGAGAUAUCAUGGCUCAUGCUAAUUCUCAGUGGAUAGUUCAACUACAUUUUGCUUUUCAAGAUCAAAAGUAUCUCUACAUGGUAAUGGAUUAUAUGCCAGGUGGAGAUUUAGUUAAUUUGAUGUCUAAUUAUGAUGUACCAGAAAAAUGGGCCAAAUUUUAUUGUGCCGAAGUAGUGCUUGCAUUAGAUGCAAUACAUCGUAUGGGAUUUGUACAUCGAGACGUCAAACCGGACAAUAUGCUGCUUGACAAGCAUGGCCAUUUGAAACUUGCAGAUUUUGGCACGUGUAUGAGAAUGGAUGUUGAUGGAUUGGUUCGUUCUGACACUGCAGUAGGUACACCUGAUUAUAUAUCACCCGAAGUACUUCAAUCACAGGGAGGAGAAGGUGUAUAUGGUAGAGAAUGCGAUUGGUGGUCUGUUGGUGUGUUUUUAUAUGAAAUGCUCGUCGGGGAUACUCCAUUUUAUGCUGAUUCAUUAGUUGGAACAUAUUCGAAGAUCAUGGAUCAUAGAAAUUCGCUACAUUUCCCCCAGGAGCUUAACAUUUCUCACUAUGCAAAAAAUUUGAUAUGUGGCUUUCUCACGGAUAGAACUAAACGGUUAGGAAGAAAUGGCGUGGAAGAAAUCAAAAGCCAUCCAUUCUUUAAAAAUGAUCAGUGGACUUUUGAAAAUUUAAGAGAAUGCGUACCACCUGUGGUACCCGAAUUGUCAGGAGACGAUGAUACUAGCAAUUUUGAUGAUGUCGAUAAAGAAGAUGGGCCGGAGGAAAGUUUUCCAGUACCAAAAGCAUUUUCUGGGAAUCAUUUACCAUUCAUAGGUUUCACAUAUUCGGGAGAUUAUCAAUUAUUGGCUAUUAACGGAAAAGAAUCUGUAGAUGGAUUAGAAAAUCAUAUUAAUAAUGGUACUAACGAUGAUGCCAAAAUCUCACAGUUAGAAAAUUUAUUAGAACGAGAAAGAAGGCAGAUUGAAUCUAUGGAAGCAAGACAAAGAGCUUUGUCCAUUCAGUUAGAAACCAUGACACGCAGGGAGACUGAAUUACGUGAAGAAGCGGGAAGAGCAGAUAAGGAGUUAACUUUAUUAAGACAUAAUUAUAAAGAAGCACAAAGGAAAGUAGAUCAUGAAACAGAAGCUCGUAGAAAGGCAGAAUCCUUGUUAAUGGAAUUAAAAAAGAAAUUUGAUGAGGAACAAUCUAGGAGAGCACGAGAUGCUAGUAAUUCACAACAGACAUUUGAACGUGUUAAUACAUUAGAAAAACAAAUUAAAGAAAUGCAAUCUAAAUUGGAAAGAGAAACAGAGACAGUAACGAGAUUACGAAAACAAGCUACUGAAAUUACUGUAGCUCGUCAAGCUGCCGAGCAAAUGGCUAAUGAACUCCAAAUUGCAAGAACUCAAUUGCAAGCUCAACGCGAUACCUUGCAGCAAGAAGUUGCCGCUUUGCAAGGUCAACUAUCGAAAGAACGUAGCUCCCGGUCACAGGCGUCAUCUUUAACAGUAGAACUAGAAACGCGCUUAUCUGCUUUACAUCUUGAAUUGAAACGUAGUCAUGAAAAAGAAGAGAAGGCUACUUUGGACAACAGGCAGCUAAAUGAAAAAGUAUCAGCAUUAGAAAAAGAAACAGCAAGUUUGACGCUUGAAUUAAAAGCUGCACAAGCUAGGUAUAAUCAAGAAGUUGUUGCACACCAAGAGACGGAAAGGUCGCGUAUACUAUCGAAGGAAGAAGCAAAUCUGGAAGUUGUUAAAGGACAUCAUAAUGGAAUAUUCUCAGCAAAAUUGAACGAAGAGAAGAGUGGUAGACAAAAAGCGGAAUUACUUGCACAAGAAAAGGAGAGACAAACUUCUAUGCUAUCGGUGGACUACAGACAAAUCCAGCAACGUUUGCAGAAACUUGAGGGCGAACACAGACAAGAAGUGGAAAAAGUUAAAGUACUUCAGGGUCAGGUUGAACAGGAACAACAAAAGAGAAAUGUUCUUCAAACUGAUUUGGGACAACAGUCCUCGGAAGCUGGAAGAUUACGUGCUAGGGAACAGCAGCUAAUUGGUGAAGUAACACAAUUAAGAGAAGCCAAACGACAGAUAGAAGAAGAAUUGCAUCAUUUGAAGACUCAAAGAAAUGUUGAUCAGCUACAGACUAAAGAAUUACAAGAACAAUUGGAAGCAGAAGCUUACUUUUCGACUCUUUAUAAAACACAAACUCAAGAAUUACGCGAGGAACUUGAAGAGAAAACAAGAUCACAGCAAGAGUUGGAAGAAGAACGCAGUUCUUUGGUUCAUCAAUUACAACUUUCUUUAACCAGAGGGGACAGUGAAGCAUUGGCAAGAUCAAUAGCAGAAGAAACUGUGGCGGAUCUUGAAAAAGAACGUACUAUGAAGGAAUUGGAAUAUAAAGAUGGAGUUGCUAAACAUCAUCAGGAAUUGAAUGCUAAAGAACAGAUUAUAAACAGACUUAAAGAUGGGGAAGCGGAAUUAAAGAAAUCUGUCGAACAAUAUAUUAAAGAGAAAGAAGACUUGAAUAAACGGAUGAAAGAACUUCAAGAACAACUCAAUAAAGCACAAUCUAAUGCAGAAGAAAUAGAAAAACUCAGUAGUAAAUUAAAGACUGAGCAAGUGCUUAAACAACAAGCUGUUAACAAGUUGGCUGAAAUCAUGAAUAGAAAAGAUGUAUCAUCUACUGGAAAAAAUAAGAACAAGGCAUCUGCUACGGAUCUGAGAAAGAAGGAAAAAGACUGUAGACGCUUUCAGCAGGAACUUACUCAAGAACGUGAAAAAUAUGGACAAUUGGCAGCUAAAUGGCAGAAGGAUUUACAAGAUUUACAAGCACAACUCGUGGAAGAAAAUCAAGCAAAAUUGAGGCUACAAAUGGAAUUGGAUUCGAAGGAUUCGGAAAUUGAAACGUUGCAAAUGAAAAUAGCGAGCGUCAAUUCAGAAACAGCAAGUGUUUCUUCCGUUGAAAAUGAUGGAGAAGAUUCCGUUUUAUCCGAGCACGGUUCUAUGAGAUUAGAGGGAUGGUUAAACGUGCCAAACAAACAAAAUAUUAAGAGGCAUGGUUGGAAGAAGCAAUACGUGGUCGUUUCAUCGAAAAAAAUAAUUUUUUAUAAUAGUGAAAACGAUAAAAUGAAUGCCGAUCCAGUUUUGAUAUUAGAUUUGAGUAAAGUAUUUCACGUUAGAUCUGUCACGCAAGGUGAUGUUAUCCGCGCCAAUGCCAAAGAUAUUCCUAGGAUUUUUCAGUUACUUUAUGCUGGUGAAGGUGAAGCUAGAAGACCUGGGGACGAAGGUAAUGCAUUAUCUGGAAUAGAAUUACCACAACUUACAGACAAACCUGGUACUCAACAAUUGAAGGGUCACGAAUUUGUUUCAAUAUCUUAUCAUAUGCCAACUGCUUGUGAAGUUUGUUCUAAACAACUUUGGCAUAUGUUUCGUCCAUCUCCGGCUCUGGAAUGUCGAAGAUGUCGUAUAAAAGUUCAUAAAGAACAUUUGGAAAAGAAAGAAGAUGCCAUAGCUCCGUGUAAACUACAUUACGAUCCAAACAGUGCACGAGAAUUGUUGGUCCUUGCGGGAAGUCCAGAGGAGCAAAAAUAUUGGGUUUCAAGAUUAUCUAGGCGUAUACAAAAAUGUGGUUAUAAAGCUAAUUCACAUGUCGAUGGCACAGGACAACGUGUCUCGCCAAGGUAGCGUAGCCGUGCAGCUCAACGUAGCCAGGGACUAAAUAGAUCUCGUGUAUUGUGGCAUCGCAUGAUCGGGUUUAGAGAGGGAAUCGACAAGAUCGACGUUAAAGCCAUAUUUAUCGGUGCAACAACGCUCAGCAACAUUGCCAGCAAAUGCCAGUAUGGGCAAGUGACCUUAGCUCGCAUUGAUAAUAAUUCUUCAAUCGUCAGUGCACUUGAUAUUGUUAUCAUUUAGUCCUUUUUUACUAAGGUUCGCGGUACUUUAGUAAAACCAGCGUCGCAUCGGUUGAUUUUUCACUUUGUACACCCGAUGAUGAUGACGAUGAUGAUGAUGAAUGAUGAUCAUGAUUUAUUAAGUUCAUUAUUCUCACAUACAUUUUCCAGAAGCCAUGUGUUUCAGAGUCUACUACACUACUACUCCUAGUACUACUACUACUACUACUACUACUACUGCACUACUUCUUCUACUGCUACUACUACUACUACUACUACUACUGCUACUACCUACUUGUAGUUCCAUGUGUUUGUGUCGGAAUUAGCGAUCGAAAUACAUUGUUAACAAAUAUCAUAUUAGUUGGAAAAAAAGAAGGAACAACACAGUAACAACAAAUUAAUUAACGACCAUUGCGAUAUACCGGAUAUUUCAUUAAUCGGGUUAUUAUAGCGAUGCAAGAAAAUUCUAAUCAAGUCCCAGAGCUGUAUGGAAAAAACAGGGUUAAUAGGAUAUACCAACAACAAGUGGAGUUUUAAUAAACAAAGAAAAAAAUCAUUACUUUUUCCGAAAUAUAACCACAUGUUAUAUACGAUCAAGAAAACUAAAGUAAUGCGAAU